rnacentral:lncRNA from 1 species
AAGCGGACCCCCGUGUGGAGGGAGGGACGCCCUUCCUUCACUCACAUGGCCAGUGGAUGAUGGUGGGGCAAACCAGGACGGCAGAUAUUAAAAGACAUGCAGAGAGCUGGAUGGAAAAUGGAACAGCCGGGUCUUGAACUGGCGCCCAUAUGGGAUGCCGGUGCUUCAGGCCAGGGCUUUAACCCGCUGCGCCACAGCACCGGCCCCCGCCUUGGAUCUUAGCAAAGCUCCUCUGGCCACCGAGUUGAUAACAAGGUACAAGGGUGGAGUGGAGGCGAGGAGAAGUCGCCUGCCAUAAUUUGGCCAGAGCAACAGCAGUGGGCGGGGGGGUGGCCGGACUUUGGUUGUACUUUGAAGGUAGAGUUGGUGGGACUUCCGCCUGCAGCACACGGGGCUGGGAGAGAGGAGGAGGACCCUGCAUGUCUUUUAAUAUCUGCCGUCCUGGUUUGCCCCACCAUCAUCCACUGGCCGUGUGAGGGAAGGAAGGGCGUCCCUCCCUCCACACGGGGGUCCGCUUCAGGAAGAAGCCCAGGUGCAUUAACAAGUGACCAACCCUGGCAGUCGCCACUCGUCACAGCCUUGCCAGCCCAGUCCCUGGGGGGCACGAGGCGGCCAGGCCCUGGCCUCGGGCCACUCGGCCUGCCCCUGCCUGCCUGGGGACCAGAGGCCUGGGAAAGCAUGAGAAGAUGGCCCAAGUCCUUGGGGCCCUGGCACCUGCGUGGGAGACCCAGAAGAAGCUCCUGGUGUCCGAUCGGCAUAGUUCUGGCCAUUGCAGCCAUCUGGGGAGUGAACCAGCGGAUAGAAGACUUCUGUCUCUACCUUUCUCUGUAACUCUGUCUUUCAAAUAAAUAAAAAGACCCAAGGCAGGACAUGUGACGUGUCCGCUCAGAGCCAUGUGGUGGCUUUUACUGGGGGGUAAAACUGGGUACCAGGGACCUUGUGAUGCCCUCCCAGCCCCCCGAGAGUCCCCAGGCCCUCAGCCCUGGCCCCCUCCUACUCACCCCUGGCUCACUGCCACGCGGCCAGCUGGCCUUCCUGCUGUUGUGGGAACGCACCGCACAAGCCAUCCCUGCGCCGUCCCACGGGUCUCUGAGCUGCUCCACCCAGCACCCCCAGUCACCCCCAUCUUGGCGGUUGCUUCCCCCGACAAGGGCUGUCACCUCGCAGCCCUCCCCUGCCCUCCGCCCACACCCACCAGGGGUCACUUCCUCCUCUGAACACCACCAUUCACACCCAGGUUCGCUUUCUGUGUCUUUGGCUCACCCUGCCUGGGUUUCUCGGAGACCUGCUCCGAGUCCUCGGACAGCGUGUCCAUCCUCGCCCGGGUCAAAAUCCCAAGAUCUGACUCACUUUCUUCCUUUUGUCUAA